rnacentral:rRNA from 1 species
AGAGUUUGAUCCUGGCUCAGGAUGAACGCUGGCGGCGUGCCUAAUACAUGCAAGUCGAACGGAGGUUGUAGCAAUACAUCCUCAGUGGCGAACGGGUGAGUAACGCGUUGGUGACCUGCCCCGAAGUGCGGGAUAACAGUUCGAAAGGAUUGCUAAUACCGCAUGUGUUCAUCUGGAUUAGAUGCCAGAUGAGUAAAGGCGAAAGUCGCUUCGGGAGGGGCCUGCGUCCCAUCAGCUAGUUGGUAGGGUAAUGGCCUACCAAGGCGAUGACGGGUAGGGGACCUGAGAGGGUGGCCCCCCACAAUGGAACUGAAACACGGUCCAUACACCUACGGGUGGCAGCAGUAGGGAAUAUUGGUUAAUGUGCGAAAGCGCGAACCAGCAACGCCGCGUGCGCGAUGAAGGCCUUCGGGUUGUAAAGCGCUUUUUGAGGGGAUGAGGAAGGACAGUACCCUCAGAAUAAGUCUCGGCUAACUACGUGCCAGCAGCCGCGGUAACACGUAGGAGACUAGCGUUAUCUGGAUUUACUGGGCGUAAAGCGCGUGCAGGCGGUUCAGCAAGUUGGAUGUGAAAGCUCCUGGCUUAACUGGGAGAGGUCGUUCAAAACUACUGAACUGGAGAGUGGUAGAGGGAGGUGGAAUUCCGGGUGUAGUGGUGAAAUGCGUAGAUAUCCGGAGGAACACUAGUGGCGAAAGCGGCCUCCUGGAUCAUUUCUGACGCUCAGACGCGAAAGCUAGGGGAGCGAACGGGAUUAGAGAUCUCGGUAGUCCUAGCUGUAAACGAUGUAGACUUGGCGUUGGUGGGGUUAAAUCCAUCAGUGCCGAAGCUAACGCGAUAAGUCUACUCGUCUGGGGACUACGGCCGCAAGGUUAAAACUCAAAGGAAUUG